GGCUGACAAGAAAAGACGAAGUUUUCUCUUCAGUUAAUCCGUAUUUUUUGUGCCAAAUCGAUUGGCGAAAACACUGCAAAGUGAGCGAGAUCAAGUAUUUCAGACAGAGAGUGUCAGAUCUUUGUUCAUAUUGGCUGACCAUUAAACAGUCAACUGAAGCAUAUCUGUGAAGGAUGAAGCAUUUGGACCACUUCACCAACUUCAAAGGAUCAAAUAAUUCAGACAGAGAGUGUCAGAUCUUUGUUCAUAUUGGCUGACCAUUAAACAGUCAACUGAAGCAUAUCUGUGAAGAAUGAAGCAUUUGGACCACUUCGCCAACUUCAAAGGAUCAAGUAAUUCAGACAGAGAGUGUCAGAUCUUUGUCCAUAGUGGCUGACCAUCAAACAGUCAGCGGAGAUAUAAGCUUGAUCUGUGAAAGAUGAAGCAUUUGGACAACUUUACCAACGUCAAAAGAUCAACUAAUCGAGACAGAGAGUGGCGGAUCUCCAUUCAAGUUCAAGGCCAUCAUCAGUGGAGAUGCAGUGUUGGUCAACAGUAAUUUAGCGUUUGUAGCUUUGAAUUUAUAACUACUUGUAUCUGGGAUGGAUCUGAAGGUUUAAUAUAAUAUCACCAAGAUAAUGAAGGCUUUCCUUGAAAGAGCAUCAUUGUCUGCAAGAUUGAAAUGUGCACAUCCUGAGUGGUGAAUCAUUCAUACUUUCCUUGUGUGGUGAUCU